UCGAGGAUCUUCGGCAAUGGGCGCAAGCCUGACCGAGCGACGCCGCGUGUGCGAUGAAGGCCUUCGGGUUGUAAAGCACUGUCGAGGGGGAGAAAGCUCCGCAAGGGGUUGAUCUAUCCCUGGAGGAAGCACGGGCUAAGUUCGUGCCAGCAGCCGCGGUAAGACGAACCGUGCGAACGUUGUUCGGAAUCACUGGGCUUAAAGGGCGCGUAGGCGGGUCUCCAAGUCAAGGGUGAAAGCCUCCGGCUUAACCGGAGAAGUGCUUUUGAUACUGGGGAUCUCGAGGGGUGCAGGGGCAUGUGGAACUUCCGGUGGAGCGGUGAAAUGCGUAGAUAUCGGAAGGAACGCCGGUGGCGAAAGCGACGUGCUGGACACCUUCUGACGCUGAGGCGCGAAAGCCAGGGGAGCAAACGGGAUUAGAUACCCGCGUAGUCC
rnacentral:rRNA from 1 species